GUGGUCGCUUCGGCCACACGCGUACUAAAAUUAUAAUGAUGCAGAGACAGUUAGCACAGUCCCUGUGCAAGGAUGACAAGCAAAUCUGUGAAGCAUUCCACAUUUAA
ensembl:snRNA U6 U6 spliceosomal RNA